rnacentral:rRNA from 1 species
GACGUAGGAGGCGAGCGUUGUCCGGAUUCAUUGGGCGUAAAGAGCACGCAGGCGGUUUGGCAAGUCGGAUGUGAAAACCCGAAGCUCAACUUCGGGCCUGCAUCCGAAACUGCCCGACUAGAGGUAGGUAGGGGAGAUCGGAAUUCCUGGUGUAGCGGUGAAAUGCGCAGAUAUCAGGAGGAACACCUAUGGCGAAGGCAGCUCGCUGGGACGUUACUGACGCUGAGACGCGAAAGCGUGGGGAGCAAACAGG